UAACCGCAUCAGGUCUCCAA
rnacentral:snRNA from 1 species